rnacentral:pre_miRNA from 1 species
UGAAGGAAGUGGUAUUGGUGAGGUUGAAUCUGAUGAUUGGAUUUACUUAUGAUACGAUGGUAAACCCUUCUCAGAUUGAGCCGCGCCAAUAUCACUGUCUUCUAU